AACGAACGCUGGCGGCAUGCCUAACACAUGCAAGUCGAACGAGACCUUCGGGUCUAGUGGCGCACGGGUGCGUCACGCGUGGGAACCUGCCCUUAGGUUCGGAAUAACUCCCCGAAAGGGGUGCUAAUACCGGAUAAUGUCUUCGGACCAAAGAUUUAUCGCCUUUGGAGGGGCCCGCGUUGGAUUAGCUAGUUGGUAGGGUAAAAGCCUACCAAGGCGACGAUCCAUAGCUGGUCUGAGAGGAUGAUCAGCCACACUGGGACUGAGACACGGCCCAGACUCCUACGGGAGGCAGCAGUGGGGAAUAUUGGACAAUGGGCGAAAGCCUGAUCCAGCAAUGCCGCGUGAGUGAUGAAGGCCUUAGGGUUGUAAAGCUCUUUUACCCGGGAUGAUAAUGACAGUACCGGGAGAAUAAGCUCCGGCUAACUCCGUG
rnacentral:rRNA from 1 species